rnacentral:rRNA from 1 species
UCGAGGAUCUUCGGCAAUGGGCGCAAGCCUGACCGAGCGACGCCGCGUGGGCGAUGAAGGCCUUCGGGUUGUAAAGCCCUGUCGAGGGGGAGGAAGGCGCAAGCUUGACCUAUCCCUGGAGGAAGCACGGGCUAAGUUCGUGCCAGCAGCCGCGGUAAGACGAACCGUGCAAACGUUGUUCGGAAUCACUGGGCAUAAAGGGCGCGUAGGCGGUCGGUCAAGUCUGGGGUGAAAUCUUUCGGCUCAACCGGAAACGUGCCUCGGAUACUGACUGGCUGGAGGGAGGUAGGGGUCGACGGAACUUCCGGUGGAGCGGUGAAAUGCGUAGAUAUCGGAAGGAACACCGGUGGCGAAAGCGGUCGACUGGACCUUUUCUGACGCUGAGGCGCGAAAGCCAGGGGAGCAAACGGGAUUAGAUACCCCCGUAGUCC